UGAUAAAGCAGGAUUUUAAUAGGUGGCCUAAUUCAGAUACUGAAGUUAUUCUGUACAACGAUGACAAAUUAAUUAGGGGUAAUUCAGAAACAACUGUGCUUGAAGCUCUGUCUUCCCUUGAUUUUUUUGACUGAAAGGGAUGUGCCAUCAAUCAUGAGAAAAUUCAGGCGCCCUCCAAGAUGCAGUUUGGCUCUGCCUCUGCCCGCUAGAGGAAUUCACCCUGGACCAGAUAGAGGCUUUUGUUUUUCAAGCCCCCUACCACUAAAAAGCAGGCAUAGAUAUUAAUGGGCAUCUUGGAUCCACAUCUGGGUAUUAGAUUAUUAGAAGGGCAUCAGAAUUUGCAUGCGGUCCGAACCAGCCACUGCCUCCGAAGCCUUGCAGACCACAGUGCCUGCUGCCCUUCCUCUGGGUCCAUAUCACCAAUCAGAAUAUGAAGUGUGUCUCCUUAACUGCUGAUGACCGGAGCCUUCUGGGAAUUCCUGAGGGAGGGGAAGGACUUAGCCUGUGGCUUCUAGUCCUGAGGAUGCUCCCUUUGAAUGUCAGUUACCAGCUGCUUAUGGAAGCUAAGACAAGGGACAUCAAGUACUUCGGGGUCCCAAGCUGUAUAACAGGAAUCGGUCACGUUCAAACAAAAGCUAGCUCCAGUGCUGAAGAGGAACUCCAGAGAUCGAAAAGCUCAGCCCCACGGAGGUUGGUCCCUCCUCCGGCACUGCGGAGGCCAGCCUGGGCAAGGGCGCCCCCUGCAGGCUCCCGGCAUCGGUGCCGGAGAAGCACGGUGGACUCUGAGCUGCCGCCGGUUUUGUGGGUGGCUUUGCCUCCCUCACUUCUAAAACCUCCAGCGGUGGCGGUCCCCUUAUACCCUGCCUGGGGGGGAUACUUGGAGAGGAGAAUGAGGGGCUUCUUCCCAGUGGGCAGAACCAAAGGCAGUACCGAUGACUUGAAGCUGGGCUCUAGAGAGCAAACAAGACUUUCCUGUAUUCAAAUUCGCAGGCAGUGAUUUAUGUUUAGGCCACUGGCUUGGCUGCCGGCUGUGGAUUCCAUUGACUGGCGGACAAAAUUAAGCUCCUGGUUCCUCACGUGGAUGCCAUCAGAUCCCUAGUGAAGAAUCCCGUGGAACAAAGCUGUAGAUGUUCUGAUAAGAUGAGAGAGGCAGACAAGUGGUCACAUGACCAGAGAGACCGUGGAGGAGUGGAUGCUGCCUUGGCCUGGGGGAGGACCCAACGUAUUUAGCAGUCCACGCACGUGCUACUCACAGCAGCCCUGUGAGCUUAUCCUUUCCCUACCCUUUUCUGUGCCUGGAGGCACCGGCCUAAAGGUUCUACAUGAUGAUGGUGACCAAUCUGAUGAAAAUCCACUAAGUAAACUGGGACAGGAACUUAUAAUUUCACAAUUCACCAGAAAGAUGAAAGUAAAAAUGAAAACUCUUUUUAACUAAAUGGUAGAUAAAUUAUGAACAAACUAUCCGGGAAUCAAAUCAUAAAGGGGAAGAGGAGGGAGGCCGGGGAAGUACUGAAUAUGACCAUAAACACAAAUUUACUACAUCA